rnacentral:rRNA from 1 species
UGCCCUAGUAACGGCGAGUGAAGCGGCAACAGCUCAAAUUUGAAAUCUGGCUUUCGGGCCCGAGUUGUAAUUUGUAGAGGAUGAUUUUGAUGCGGUGCCUUCCGAGUUCCCUGGAACGGGACGCCAUAGAGGGUGAGAGCCCCGUCUGGUUGGAUGCCAAAUCUCUGUAAAUCUCCUUCGACGAGUCGAGUAGUUUGGGAAUGCUGCUCUAAAUGGGAGGUAUAUGUCUUCUAAAGCUAAAUACCGGCCAGAGACCGAUAGCGCACAAGUAGAGUGAUCGAAAGAUGAAAAGCACUUUGAAAAGAGAGUUAAAAAGUACGUGAAAUUGUUGAAAGGGAAGCGUUUAUGACCAGACUUGGGCUUGGUUAAUCAUCUGGGGUUCUCUCCAGUGCACUUUUCCAGCCCAGGCCAGCAUCAGUUUUCGCCGGGGGAUAAAGACUUCGGGAAUGUGGCUCCUCUCGGGGAGUGUUAUAGCCCGUUGUGUAAUACCCUGGUGGGGACUGAGGUUCGCGCUUCUGCAAGGAUGCUGGCGUAAUGGUCAUCAACGACCCGUCUUGAAACACGGACCAAGGAGUCGUCUUCGUAUGCGAGUGUUCGGGUGUCAAACCCCUACGCGUAAUGAAAGUGAACGCAGGUGAGAGCUUCGGCGCAUCAUCGACCGAUCCUGAUGUUCUCGGAUGGAUUUGAGUAAGAGCAUACGGGGCCGGACCCGAAAGAAGGUGAACUAUGCCUGUGUAGGGUGAAGCCAGAGGAAACUCUGGUGGAGGCUCGCAGCGGUUCUGACGUGCAAAUCGAUCGUCAAACAUGGGCAUG